UUUGUAUGCACUUUAUAUCUCCGUAAGAAAGCAAACAUGUUAAAAAGGAAGCAGGCCCCUACCCUACUUAAUUAAGCCAGGGAACUGGUUAGAGCCCUACAAAAGCCUACCUACGGACAAAAAAGGGCGAAGGGGAAGGGAGCUGACACUAUCCCUCCCGCAGGGUCCAGCCCUAAUAGUGGGUUCUCCAGAAGCUCGCCAGGCAUUCAUUUCUCCAGGGGAGCGCCCUUACUUGGAGGUAGCGCUGCUUGGUUUUCUCGCCCGCCAGCGUUGAGUUCAGGUGUGCAGGCUACCAACCUGUAUUCUUCAGGUAAGUCACCCUCCUCUGACUCGCCUCCCACCCUGCUCCCUCCUGCCUCGCGACCAGUGCGAAGGGAGUCCCCGAACUGCGACACCUCCCGGGGCAGCCGCACCGGUAUCCGUCCGAGUCGACCCACUUGCCGUGGCUUUUCACCUACGCAGUAAAGCAAGUUUCAUUUUCAAAAGGAGAGGAAGCAGGUUUCACAGACACCGCAUUCCCAAGAAGUUUCUGAGAGACGCGCAGCGCACAAGUCACUGGCUUGGAUCCCUUUGCUGCUCAUGGUGUCCACAGUCUGAUGUGAGCGCAUUAAAUUUAAGGAUCUCCGCCCUUCUCCUUAAAACUCAAGACUUGGCAAUGAGCCUAGGAAGCGCCCCUCCCCUCCCCAACCAGAUCCAAGCCCCGGACCGCUGCGUCUCCAGCUGCGCCUAGUGAAACCGCCGAAUUCGAAUUCACACUCGGCGGGCCGGCGAAGGUGUGCGCGCCCGCGGGAGCGCCGGGGCGAGCCCGACGGACUGCAAGCCAGGAACGGAGGCAUGGGUGGCGGGGGGCGCCGUCUGAUCCAGGUAGGAGCGGAGGCGCCGAUCACACACUCUUCAGACGCCCUGCCCGCGCCUGGUCAGCGCGCAGCCUGCAGGACGCGCGGAGCAGGAACUCGCUGGAGUUUGCCAAGCCCCACUCCUCCGCCCUACUCUUCCAUCCCUGCCUGAAAUAAGUGUGGUUCUCCUGUCUGUCAGACUAUGAAGAGUUCUCAAAUAUGUCUUUCCCAGAGAGGGAGAGGAGUGACGAAGCAACAGAAACUUCAGCCUCCACGAUCGAUGUUUCUCAAGUGUCAAGGAAAAUGGAGCUUAGGAGGGCAGCCCCACAAGCAUCGUGAUGGGCAUUUAAGCCAACGCAUGUGCCAGGUCCUAGAACAGAGUAACUUCCCCAUCUCAACACAAUAAAAUGGUGAUAUGAGCUCCUCACAGCUGAGUCAACAUCACCAUCUGCAGACUUGCUCCACCCAGCCCUCAAGCCACACU
rnacentral:lncRNA from 1 species